CCCUUAGAUGUUCUGGGCUGCACGCGCGCUACACUGAUGCGCUCAACGAGUUUACGACCUUGCCCGGAAGGGUUGGGUAAUCUUUUUAAAACGCAUCGUGAUGGGGAUAGAUUAUUGCAAUUAUUAAUCUUUAACGAGGAAUUCCUAGUAAGCGCGAGUCAUCAGCUCGUGCUGAUUACGUCCCUGCCCUUUGUACACACCGCCCGUCGCUCCUACCGAUUGAAUGAUCCGGUGAAUAAUUCGGACUGCAGCAGUGUUCAGUUCCUGAACGUUGUAGCGGAAAGUUUAGUGAACCUUAUCACUUAGAGGAAGGAGAAGUCGUAACA
rnacentral:rRNA from 1 species